rnacentral:rRNA from 2 species
UGCAAGUCGAACGAGCUUCCGUUGAAUGACGUGCUUGCACUGAUUUCAACAAUGAAGCGAGUGGCGAACUGGUGAGUAACACGUGGGAAAUCUGCCCAGAAGCAGGGGAUAACACUUGGAAACAGGUGCUAAUACCGUAUAACAACAAAAUCCGCAUGGAUUUUGUUUGAAAGGUGGCUUCGGCUAUCACUUCUGGAUGAUCCCGCGGCGUAUUAGUUAGUUGGUGAGGUAAAGGCCCACCAAGACGAUGAUACGUAGCCGACCUGAGAGGGUAAUCGGCCACAUUGGGACUGAGACACGGCCCAAACUCCUACGGGAGGCAGCAGUAGGGAAUCUUCCACAAUGGACGAAAGUCUGAUGGAGCAAUGCCGCGUGAGUGAAGAAGGGUUUCGGCUCGUAAAACUCUGUUGUUAAAGAAGAACACCUUUGAGAGUAACUGUUCAAGGGUUGACGGUAUUUAACCAGAAAGCCACGGCUAACUACGUGCCAGCAGCCGCGGUAAUACGUAGGUGGCAAGCGUUGUCCGGAUUUAUUGGGCGUAAAGCGAGCGCAGGCGGUUUUUUAAGUCUGAUGUGAAAGCCUUCGGCUUAACCGGAGAAGUGCAUCGGAAACUGGGAGACUUGAGUGCAGAAGAGGACAGUGGAACUCCAUGUGUAGCG